GGGGGGUUUUGAAAAGUGUUUUUGUAGUGAAUGCGGAAAAUUUAAAAUUCACGCUGGAAUUGGACAGCUCUGACCUUUGCUCAAUGUUUUAUCCAUAACUUUUUCUACAGAGCUCUAAAUGAGAUGAGGUUUUUUUUCCUGGAAAAUAGACUCAAAUAUCUUUCAUUUGACCUAUAAAACGUAGCAUUUGGACCUCUGGUGUGGUUGCAAUUAGUUUUUUAAAAUCGAGUCCAGAGAGUGAAAAUGCUAAGCCAAAUACUAGACUAAACAAAUAU
rnacentral:lncRNA from 1 species